rnacentral:rRNA from 2 species
GACGAACCACCCAAACGUUAUUCGGAAUCACUGGGCUUAAAGGGUGCGUAGGCGGCGUCGUAAGUCGGGUGUGAAAUCCCUCAGCUCAACUGAGGAAUUGCGCCCGAUACUGCGGCGCUUGAGGGAGACAGAGGUAAGCGGAACUGAUGGUGGAGCGGUGAAAUGCAUUGAUAUCAUCAGGAACACCGGUGGCGAAAGCGGCUUACUGGGUCUCUUCUGACGCUCAGGCACGAAAGCUAGGGGAGCGAACGGG